rnacentral:rRNA from 1 species
UACGUAGGGUGCAAGCGUUAAUCGGAAUUACUGGGCGUAAAGCGUGCGCAGGCGGUGAGCUGUGUCCGAUGUGAAAGCCCCGGGCUUAACCUGGGAAUGGCAUUGGAAACUGGCUCGCUGGAGUGUGGCAGAGGGGGGUGGAAUUCCGCGUGUAGCAGUGAAAUGCGUAGAUAUGCGGAGGAACACCGAUGGCGAAGGCAAUCCCCUGGGCGUGCACUGACGCUCAUGCACGAAAGCGUGGGGAGCAAACAGG